UACGUAGGGUGCAAGCGUUGUCCGGAAUUAUUGGGCGUAAAGAGCUCGUAGGCGGUCUGUCGCGUCGACCGUGAAAACCCGCGGUUUAACUGCGGGCUUGCGGUUGAUACGGGCGGGCUAGAGUUCGGUAGGGGGAGACUGGAAUUCCUGGUGUAGCGGUGAAAUGCGCAGAUAUCAGGAGGAACACCGGUGGCGAAGGCGGGUCUCUGGGCCGAUACUGACGCUGAGGAGCGAAAGCGUGGGGGAGCGAACAGG
rnacentral:rRNA from 1 species